GACGAACGCUGGCGGCGUGCCUAAUACAUGCAAGUAGAACGCUGAAACUUGGUGCUUGCACCGAGCGGAUGAGUUGCGAACGGGUGAGUAACGCGUAGGUAACCUGCCUGGCAGCGGGGGAUAACUAUUGGAAACGAUAGCUAAUACCGCAUAAGAGUAGAUGUUGCAUGACAUUUGCUUAAAAGGUGCAAUUGCACCACUACCAGAUGGACCUGCGUUGUAUUAGCUAGUUGGUGGGGUAACGGCUCACCAAGGCGACGAUACAUAGCCGACCUGAGAGGGUGAUCGGCCACACUGGGACUGAGACACGGCCCAGACUCCUACGGGAGGCAGCAGUAGGGAAUCUUCGGCAAUGGACGGAAGUCUGACCGAGCAACGCCGCGUGAGUGAAGAAGGUUUUCGGAUCGUAAAGCUCUGUUGUAAGAGAAGAACGAGUGUGAGAGUGGAAAGUUCACACUGUGACGGUAUCUUACCAGAAAGGGACGGCUAACUACGUG
rnacentral:rRNA from 1 species